rnacentral:rRNA from 1 species
GAUGAACGCUGGCGGCGUGCCUAAUACAUGCAAGUCGAGCGGACGGACGAGAAGCUUGCUUCUCUGAUGUUAGCGGCGCACGGGUGAGUAACACGUGUAACACCUACCUAUAUUACUGGGAUAACUUCGGGAAACCGGCUCUAAUACCGUAUAAUAUUUUGAACCGCAUGGUUCAAAGGUGAAAGACGGUCUUGCUGUCACUUCUAGCUGGAUCCCGGCUGCAUUAGCUGGUUGGUAAGGUAACGGCUUACCAAGGCGACGAUGCGUAGCCGAGCUGAGAGAGUGAUAGGCCACCUUGGAAGUGGAACAGGGACCAGAGUACUAAGGGAGGGAGCAGUAGGGAACCUUACGCAGUAGGGGGAAACAUGACGGAGCAACGCGGAGUGAGAGACAGAGGUGUUGGGUGCGGAAAGACGUGUUAUGGGGGGAAAACAGAUUUGGAAGUAACUGUGGAGAUCUUGACGGUACCUAGUCAGGAAGCACCGGCUAACUACGUG